UACGUAGGGUGCAAGCGUUGUCCGGAAUUAUUGGGCGUAAAGAGCUCGUAGGCGGUUUGUUGCGUCCGCUGUGAAAACUCGGGGCUUAACCCCGAGCCUGCAGUGGAUACGGGCAGACUAGAGGUAGGUAGGGGAGAAUGGAAUUCCCGGUGUAGCGGUGAAAUGCGCAGAUAUCGGGAGGAACACCGGUGGCGAAGGCGGUUCUCUGGGCCUUACCUGACGCUGAGGAGCGAAAGCGUGGGGAGCGAACAGG
rnacentral:rRNA from 1 species